CAAUACCUUGACGUGGUCACCUAAUGUAAGGUUGAAGAAAGUAAGGUUUGCUCUGGCCAUGACUAAUGCUGUGUGAUAUAACUGUGCAGAUAAUUGGUCAUGGCUCUUAGGAACAGUUAUGGGUAAUGUAUUUCUUUGGCAUUUGUUUCUGGAAUUUCAUUUACCUUUAAGGAGGCUAUACAAGAGGAGGAGGACUCCAGCUGAAAACUAUUUUUAAACAUUAAUACAGUACACAUAGAGCCACUUGGUAGAUAGUAUGUGUUACCACCAUCCUGUCUGCCAGUGUUUGUACGGUAUAAGUUAUUCAGUGUUGUGAGAGUAUUUGUCCCUGGUAAGAUAGUAAGGGGAGUAGUUUCUUUUACAUAUAAAUACCGCUGAACGGUGUGCUUCAGUAUCAUCCAUCCUUCAUGUCAUUUGUUCCUCACAUCUGAUCAGAUUUUGACAGAUGUUUAUGUACCUGCCAAGGUUCAGGGCAGUGUACAGGUGUUUCACUGGAAAGUAAAGAUAGAGAAAAAUCAGAGGCCCAGUAUGGACACCUUCUCAUAUGGUGAAUGGGUCUCAUUCCUAACAGGUCCCGUGCAAGCAGAACCCAGUCCUAAUGGACACCAUCUUCAUAGGACCCAGUCCUAAUGGUUAGGUUAGUUAGGGGACUAUUAAGACUGGGGUCCACUUGAUUUUGCAAUCCUUCUCAUGUUGUGUAUCUCACAAUUAGACAAGUUUUGAGGAAAAACGUGGGAGAGUUUUUCGUGAUCUUUUCUACUGAUCAUUUUGCUGCUGGGAAAAGUCUUUCCCCCCUCCUGUUUAAACUGAGUUUAAGAACAGUGAUGUUCUGUAUGUGAGGAAGAUAUAAAACUAAUGGAACCUGAAUAUUUUAUUAUAUAGUACAGUGUUUCUAUUUGCUAGAGAGAUUGUUUAUAUGUAAACAAGAUUAGACAUAACUAAUGUAAAUAUUAUUCAAUAGUUUACCUGUAUCAGAAAAUUCAGGUUUCAUUAUAUUUAAGAAUUACUCUUUUCAUAUCCAUAAGGGAGAUGGGGGUUCAGUAGUGACCUUCACACCCCAAGUUGUACAAAAAACAAAAUUAAUUGCCUCGGUUAACUGUGUCUGGCUGCCAUAUCUUUGGUUGUGUUGCCAGUACUGGGUGGCAGCCCUGGAUGGCUCAGAGGUAAUGUAGGAGGAUGUGUGGUGUUCCCAACCUGACCAAAUAUACACAGGGCAAUUAUUCCUUUUUUUUAUAUAAUUAGUGUAAACAACCUCGGCUAAAAGCACAGUGACAUACAGUACACGUGUUAGUUAACCAGAUUAUAUUCAGAAAAAAGAAUCGCUUUCAUACUGAAAAUUUUUAUUAUUAGAAAUUACCAAUGACUGAUAACUCUUUGAUAAGUCUAUCUCACUAUUGUUGGACUAGUGAGUUACUAACCGUGUUACACGCUUAAAAACUUAAUUGUUGAAGCGCAGUAAUAACAUUAUAAAAACAACAAUCCUCUGAACCUGACUGAAAUUCUUAAGAUUUUUAUUCUCACAAAAUCAGAUCAGUGGACUCGAUAUUUUGACUAAGACCAAUACUUUUUAUAGUCGUCUAGAUUUGUAUAGAUCAUGAUUUUAUCUUAUUUUUUUUUAUCUUUAGGUAUUCAAAUUAUAAAAUAACUUUUAAUAUAAUAAUUGAUAUAGGUAUCUGUGACAUGGAAGUCUGGUUAGCAAAAUCUAGUACUGUACAGUUAACAUCAUUAUCACCAGUAAGAUCUAAUACUGUACACAGCCUUUAGACUUGUGCCAGGUCAGCUCUGAUACAUCAUCGUCUUAUAAAAACAAAGCAAAGUGUGUGGAGUUAACAUCUUGCCUGAGAAUUGGUUUUUAGAUGAAAUUGAGCAAAGAGAGAUUGAAGAAUGGAGUGUGGUGAGAAACAUGAAGUAAGGAGGUUGUAACACAGGCCACAUCACUAGGGGAGGUUGAAACACAGCUCACAUCACUAGGGGAGGUUGUAACACAGGCCACAUCACUAGGGGAGGUUGAAACACAGCUCACAUCACUAGGGGAGGUUGUAACACAGGCCACAUCACUAGGGGAGGUUGUAACACAGGCCACAUCACUAGGGGAGGUUGUAACACAGGCCACAUCACUAGAGGAGGUUGUAACACAGGCCACAUCACUAGGGGAGGUUGUAGUGUGACAGUAACUAAACAGACGGAUCAUCAUCGUGGAUGUCGUCUUCUCCUAUACAGUUGUUUCUGUGGAUGACUGGCACCAGGAGAUUCACUGUCACAUAAUAUCCAUCAGUAACUAGCAAGUUGUGCCGGGUAGUACAUGAAACAUCACUAGUAUACGUGAAGGCCGGGAGAUGUUCUGUACUAGUUUUAUGGACUGAGUAACCUUUGAAUAUGAACUAGUGAAACAUGUGUUGGAUCAAUUGCAGUCUGGCAGCCAUAUUCGGUAAUUUAAAUAUUUUGUUUCAUUGGUCAAUCCGUCAACCAUGGCUCUUAGUUGGAAGAGGAAGAGACAAACGACUUGCUUGACAGCAAUAUUUUGGAUGUUUUUCUUUGUAUAAGAAGAAAUAAAGUGUGGAGGAGGUGUGGAAGUGUCUGUCUUGUGAAUAGUGGACCAGAGUUUGGUUAGGUGGAGGAAACAUACUGAGAGAAUGAGAAAAAAAGAUUGACAAAAACUGUAAAUUUAAAGAGAAUUAAAUCAGUAAAUGGGAAGACAAGGAGGAGAUGGGGAGAUUGUAUGGGGCGUCAGUGGUCACCAUGACAAUGGGAGGCAUUGUGGAAAUAACAUCAUGUCACACUCCUUAUGGCUGCCAGAGUGAGGAGGAUGGACAUCCAGGAAGCAGUAAUGUUUGUAAAUAACCAGAGGGCUAAGUCGAAAGUGAUUCAUUUUUGGAUGUUUGGGGCUUUCUUGUGGAAGGGGAACACAGUACAGUCAGUUGUACAUUGUAGUACUGUACAGGUAGUUGUGUUCCUGGAAAACACUGCUUUAUGGGGAAGCUAGUUCAAGAACACCAACAGGACUGACAUGGGAUCCACUUUCACUUGCAUAAUACAGUAUUGUUAUUUUGGGUGUUAUUUUUUAGUAACUGUGUUUUAGUUUAAUGUGAUCAAUAAUAGAAUAAAAACAUGAAAAGGGGGAAAAAUGCAUGUUACAAUGUGUUAGUUUACGUUGUUAUACGAUAGAAAAUGGAGGUGUGAAGGAGGGUACAGAACAGAAAUGAUAAAGUAGUGGGGUGUGACUUGCUUAACAGCUUUUAAUUAAAAACAAAUUAAAUCCAAACACUUUUGACUACAAGGAAUGUAAAUAAACUUAUAAGAAUGUUUUAACAUUCACCACAAGAAGAGAAGAUGGAGUAGGUGAGGGUUCAUACCACAAUCACAUCUAAUUAUUAUUCUAGAGUUACAGCUUUUCUUCAUUUUACUUCACUUUCACUUCCACCACUCCCAGAAUGCUUCACACUUUUGCCAUGCAUUGUAAUUAAAAGCAAUAACAUUAAUACAAUACUGUACUGUACUAUAUUAAGAUAAAGCACAGUCCACAUUAACAUAACUGAUGCAUAUGAGAGGUAAACAAAGACUGUGGGGGUGGCACACUGCAUUACUGCUUAUUCCUACUUGUGACAGUUCUGUUUACAAAGUCGCGUUAUAUCCAAAUCGCAUCAUGUUAUAUAAAAUGUGUUCCAUAAUACAUUCAUGUGUGCUAUAAAAGCACACAUUAUAGGAGAACUUACUGCACUGUUGUAGAACACAUAAUGUUAUACUGAUUAAUUGAGAGCAAAUAAAGGUACUGUAGUUGGUGUUUUUCUUUGUUAACAAUCACUGCAUUUUAGUGGGGAAAGCCUGAGCUGAGAAGUUGAAUGAAAUAUUUAGUUCAUAUAUUUUUCAUAUGUUGAUAUUGAAACAGUUUUUUUAUCCAAAAACUACAGAUACAGACUGAAUAAUAAUAAUAAUAUUUACAUGGCUGAGCCAAUACAGAGCCUGGGCUGUCCAAGUGGCAUUAAUCAAUGAAAUUAUGUUAAAAUAUAUACAGUAUUUGUUAAUCUUCAUCAGCAUCAGUAAUACUUGUGACCACCACUUGAAGGAUAUAUAAUCAGUAUUAUGAAAUAUACCUGGAAAAAUGAGCAGUACAUGUGAAUAUUUAGGCUUUUACAGUAUAAGGUCAUCACUUGUCACAUCAAUGUAAAGUCUUGUAGGGUGUUACAAAAUAUUGUCCAUGUUGAAUUACCAGUUCUUUAUUUCAUCUUAAGCUUCUGUUAUAUUCCCAUUUACAGUUACAAGUCUAAUAGACCCCAACCUAACUUAACUCUACCAUUAGGAUUGGGGAACCAUAGGACCAUGGCAUUAGAUCUGGUCAACAAUGUGGGUGGGUGGUCAGGUGGAGGCUCAUUUGACCAGUCUCCCCUAUGUACAGUGGAGUACAGUACUACUUUACCAGGGACACAGUACUUUCCGCUGGACUCGAGUACAGUAUCACGAUCAUAGAGACGUAAUAACUGGUGUAAUCAUAGAGACGUAAUAACUGGUGUAAUCAUAGAGACGUAAUAACUGGUGUAAUCAUAGAGACGUAAUAACUGGUGUAAUCUAUUAUUAUGCAAAGUAACUUAAACAAUUUGACAUGCUUACACAGUCAAUAGAUGCACAGUAUAUAGUACUUGGGUGUUAUAGUAAAGAAUAUUAUGGAAGUAGUGGAAAACCUUGUAAACUGCUAUAUAUUUACAGUAUACAAGUGAAUUAUUUCUUGACUGGCAAACUUCAGUUCAUCCAGUAAUUGCAAGAGUUAUGUGACUGUGUCUCCAUGAGUAAAAUAAUCAAAACACAUGUUAGUGAUUAAGAAAAUUAUAUUGCUUGUCACCAGAUAGCACUAGAGGUAAACUGGGCUUAAUGUGUAUUCAGUAUUUGCAUGAUUAUUUUCUCUCUAUAUAUUCAGUAUAUUAUGCUUUAUUUCUUUUUGUCAUCUUUGCAUGUUAAUGUAUUAUAUUUGUUAUUUUCUAUUAUAUAUAUACAAUAUUUUAUGAGUGUGUGAGGUGAUAGGUGUUAUGUAAUUAUCUUGACCCAUACAAUCACAGAUGACAUUUUAGGCUUCAAUUUUUCCUUGGAUCUUAAUUUAUGUAUUAUUUAUCAAACAACUUACAAUGUCUUCAGAGAUUGAUUGAAACAUUUGGUGGGAGUCAUAGCUAAUAUAAUCAUUUGUCAGAAUCUUGUGUGCACUAGGAGGAAACUACUUUGUCAAUCAGGGGUUCCCAAGCAUUUACCCUUCUAGUGCUGUUACCUAUCCAGUCAGUCUCUCUCUCUCUCAAAAUCGGACUAAUUGAGGCAGACCCAAGUCCGAAAACACCCCAUAUAUGAGGGGGGGUGGGGGGGUAACACUGCUCAUCUGAACUGUUCAAAGAAAAUCAGUCGUUAUGUUAUUACUGCACUUCAACAACUAAGGUCUUUAAGUGUGUAACAAGGUUAUUAAAAGAAUAUUACAUCAACAAUAAAAAAAUAUGUGUUACGUUUUAA